GGGAAGAAAACGCAGAGGGAAGCUUGAAUCGAAAAGGGAAAAAAUACAAAGGAAAAGAUCUAGGGGAGAACUCAGAACCGAAGCAAGGGUUGAUUCGAUCUAUCAAAGCUGUGAAAUUUGUAUCCCAGAGAAAGAAGCAGAGGAGAAGUCCAGCUACAACUGAACCGAAGCAAAGGUCGAAUUGAGCAUUCAAAGCUGCGAAAUUCCGAUCCCAGAUAAAAUGCUUAGAAGAAAAAUGCGAGAUGUAAGCAUUGUUCAAAAUGCUCCAAACUCAACAGAAACAAAUAGUGAACAACGGACAACUAUUGGAUCUUCGAAUGUUCCGAAUACAUUUGAGGAUC